AGCGAACGCUGGCGGCAGGCUUAACACAUGCAAGUCGAGCGGGCACGUCGGUGUCAGCGGCAGACGGGUGAGUAACACGUGGGAACGUACCCUUCGGUUCGGAAUAACGCUGGGAAACUAGCGCUAAUACCGGAUACGCCAUUAUGGGGAAAGGUUUACUGCCGUAGGAUCGGCCCGCGUCUGAUUAGCUGGUUGGUGGGGUAAUGGCCUACCAAGGCGUCGAUCAGUAGCUGGUCUGAGAGGAUGAUCAGCCACACUGGGACUGAGACACGGCCCAGACUCGUACGGGAGGCAGCAGUGGGGAAUAUUGUACGAGGGGGGCUAGCCUGAUCCAGCCACGCCCGGUGAGUGAGGAAGGCGUUAGGGUUGUAAAGCUCUUUUGUCCGGGACGAUAAUGACGGUAACGGAAGAAUAAGCACCGGCUAACUUCGUG
rnacentral:rRNA from 1 species